CGCACCCGCAAAUCCGCCAAACCCGCACUGACAAGUGGGGUCACUUAAAAAGAGGUAUAUAUUCUUCAAAUUAGGGCUUCUUUCUCCCAAAUUGCCGUCCCCAGCAGCCGACUAGUGGCCGCCGCCGCCACUCGCGCGACCCUCUCCUCGCCAUCCCCAGUGCAUGUUGCUCCCCUCUUCACCGUCACAACUCACAAGCCAUGCGGCUCUUGCUCUGCUCUCCUCCACUCGGUCGCAUGCGCGGGCUCUGCUCUCCUCCACUCGGUCGCGUGAGCGGUCGCAUGCUGCUCCUGCUCUUUCUCCACUCGCGGCGACCGGAGACACCCACCGCCAGACCCUCACCGUCACCCACGCGACUCGACUUUUGCUCCUCCACUCGUGGCGGCGCGUCGCGCCUCCCUACUUGCGCCGUGGUCAAGCUGCUCUGCACCGGUUUACUUCACGCCGGCGCACAUCCUCGUCCUCGUCAAGCUGCCUUCCCUGUCCAGUUGCCUUUCGCCGCCAGAUCUGGCGGGCACGCGGGCACACCCGCGGGCAAGGAAUGCCCGCGGAUGGCGGGCGCGGGCACAGGAUGGCGCCCGUGACGGAUGACGGGCGCGGAUACAGGCACGCAAGUUUGCUCGCGGGUGCGGGCAUGCGGCACUAGUAUCCGCGGGCAUUGUGCCCGUUGCCAUUUUUAAUGCCAGGGCUCACGGCGCCGUCCCAGUACGCGGAGGAGCCGCCGCGUCACCCGGCCCUCGAGAUCAACGCCAAGCGUGAAGCUGCAACGAAGGAGAUUGUCUGACUGGUGCCUUGUGGUGGUGGGUAAAGUUUUUUUCGGCCCUCAAAGACAUAUGUUUCUAUUUUUUUAUUUAUUGAAAUUCACAUUGAGAAAUAUACAAAUACACAUCUUAAUACAAAAUUGUAUUAGAAAUAUGUAUUUGAACAUUUCUCAAUGCAAAUCUAAUGGGUGGAAGAGUGGAAGCAUAUACCCUUAAGGGUAGAAAAACCAUAUUCCCUUGUGGUGUUGCCAAUCACACGGAUUCUUUUGCGACUC